rnacentral:lncRNA from 10 species
AUCUCCUGACAUUGUGAUCUGCCCGCCUCGGCCUCCCAAAGUGCUGGGAUUACAGGUGUAAGCCACUGCACCCGGCCAGGCCUGAGCUUUUUAUAUACACCAACUGCCAAACAUUCCACGUGAAUUUCCUGAAACUUCUCUUUGGAAAGCUUCUGUUUGUAUGUAUAAGGCAAUGUGCAUGCCAGCAUGUCAGUUACAGCAGGAGAGAGGGAACAAGCCAUGUGGGAACUGAUGGAGCCAUGUCACAUCCAGUGUCCUCUGCAGCCGCUAUGGAGUGCCAGGAGGAAUGAGGGGCAAAUGACAGGAGAUAAAAACGCUCAGGUGAAAGAUGCCUUCCCUGUACCGGGCGAAGAAAGAUUCCUCUACAGGGAAGCACGUCAUAGCCAACAGAAUUCUGUACAGACAUUAAAGUAAUUAAAGUAAUUCCUGUCGUUCUUAAGCCUCCCCACACGGUUUACUUUUCCACAACUGCCUCUUUGUUCAGCCUCCUGCAAAAGCACAUAGGUUUCGUCACUUCUUUGGGUCUUUGCUUCCUUAGGAGGGUCCUGUGUGACAUCAAAGUGACAUUAAAUUUGUAUACAUUUCUCCUGUUAAUCCAUCUGAUUUCAACUUAGUUCCCAGGCCCAGCCAGGAACCUAAGAGGAGGGAGGUGGAUAUUUGCCUCCCCUACAGUAUCGUGUACGUAUAUGACUUUUUAAAAAAGAAAA